rnacentral:rRNA from 1 species
UAAGAGGUCACGCCUGCCCGGUGACAUACAAGUUUAACGGCCGCGGUAUCCUAACCGUGCAAAGGUAGCGCAAUCACUUGUCUUUUAAAUGAAGACCAGUAUGAACGGCACAACGAGGGCUACACUGUCUCCUUUCUCUAGUCAGUGAAAUUGAUCUCCCCGUGCAGAAGCGGGGAUAUACAUAUAAGACGAGAAGACCCUGUGGAGCUUUAGAUGUAAAAGUAGACUAAAUUAAUUUAAUACUAACAACAGAAACAAACAAAUUAGAUACUACUUAGAUAUCUUUGGUUGGGGCGACCCUGGGGAAAAAAAGAACCCCCAUGUGGACUGGGAUACUUUCCUAAAAGCUAGAACCCUUAUUCUAACUAACAGAAAUUCUGACCUUAUGAUCCGGCAAAGCCGAUUAACAGACCAAGUUACCCCAGGGAUAACAGCGCAAUCCUCUUUUAGAGUCCCUAUCGACAAGAGGGUUUACGACCUCGAUGUUGGAUCAGGACAUCCUAAUGGUGCAGCCGCUAUUAAGGGUUCGUUUGUUCAACG